GGAAUAUUGGACAAUGGGCGCAAGCCUGAUCCAGCCAUGCCGCGUGAGUGAUGAAGGCCGUAGGGUUGUAAAGCUCUUUCAGUAGGGAAGAUACUGACGGUACCUACCGACGAAGCCCCGGCUAACUUCGUGCCAGCAGCCGCGGUAAUCCGAAGGGGGCUAGCGUUGUUCGGAUGUACUGGGCGUAAAGCGCACGUAGGCGGAUUGGUCAGUUAGGGGUGAAAUCCCGGAGCUCAACUCCGGAACUGCCUUUAAUACUGCCAGUCUAGAGUCCGGAAGAGGUGAGUGGAACUCCUAGUGUAGAGGUGGAAUUCGUAGAUAUUAGGAAGAACACCAGUGGCGAAGGCGGCUCACUGGUCCGGUACUGACGCUGAGGUGCGAAAGCGUGGGGAGCAAAC
rnacentral:rRNA from 1 species